rfam:Suillus luteus TH-Slu-Lm8-n1 unplaced genomic scaffold CY34scaffold_162, whole genome shotgun sequence.
UCGGAUAUGGUGUAAUGGUUAACAUUACCGCCUCUCAUGAUCUGGUGAACGCGGUAGCUCGGGGUUCGAUUCCCCGUAUCCGAA